GGGUCUCUCAUCUGUAGCAACUCUCAGUAUAGCAACACAGUGAAAAAGGAGAGCUAAUGAAGCAAAGAGGUAGGUUUAACCUGUCUUUCCAAACAAACAGACCUUAGCUAUGUAAAUUGUGUGGAAGUGCAUAAAGAUAAAAAACAAUACACUUACUAAGAGCAUAAUGAGAGAUCAUUUCAAUCACCAAAAUAUAACUUCCAUGACAAGAAAACGAUUUGCUUACUAAGAGCAUAAUGAGAGAUCAUUUCAAUCACCAAAAUAGAACUUCCAUGAAGCAGUCAACGAAAUAUGUCCGAAAAAAGUCUGUUGAUAAUAAGUAAAGAACUUCAGCAACAAGUCUAUUUAUUAAGUGGAAGAUGCCGAAAAGAGAGAAACCAAAAUUUCAAAAACUCAAGUUUACAAGCCAGAAACACUGUUCUGGACUAUCCAAGCAAUCUGACACACAAAAUACACCAAAGUAUUUAUAUGUCUUUCUAAUGUUUGAUAUUCCACAGCACAAGAUAAUCCACAGUAGCAAUUCAACCAAGACUAAUGCCAG
rnacentral:lncRNA from 1 species